rnacentral:misc_RNA from 1 species
UCACCAAAGGAUGCAGUACUA